AUGAUUUUUCCAUGUGUCGGUGUCUGUGCAUUUCAGACUCCGCAGAGCACGUUAGGAUUUGCAGAUGUGACCAGAGCUCAGUCUGAUCAGACUGACACAAGGCAAAGGCUUUUUCCUCAUGACAAGUUUAGAGUCUCACCUUGGGCUGGCUGUGUGUCCCUAGGACGCCCCAGAAGCCCUCAUUGCCCAUUUCCGGACACUGGACGCCAGAAAGACAAAGAUCACAGAGACCGCGUGCUCCCUGCCUUCUGCACGGAGCCCAAGCUGAGCCCACAUCCUGAGAAACCAGAAAUGAAGGCACCGAUGGAAGAGAGAAAGCACCAGUGGAGGAUGAGUCCCCAGAGUGGACGAGGGGUGGGGAAGCAGGCGGAGUGGGAAAAGGACUCAGAGCAGCAUUAUGUGGCCUGGAGGCUCCCAGUCCAAGGACGGAAGAGAGACCGUGAGGUCCGGCCCCGGCCACUGGGACUGGAAUUUGGAGCUGUCUCCAUCGUAGAUGCCCGGCAGGUGAGUGCGAGCAUAGCGGGAAUAACAGGGCAGGAGAAGGUAGAAAGCUCACCUUCAGCUGUUCUGCUCCCACACUGGGAGGCGCGGGAUGGAACUCCUGCCUCAGAACCACUGAGACUCUUCUGUCCUUCAUUUGAUCUCAGCCAAAGGCCAAGAAGCGAUCUCCUGUCCUUCUCCACUUGCAUUGGGUGAAAGUUUGCCCGCAGCA
rnacentral:lncRNA from 1 species